AGGACAUACUGUACUGGCAGUCUCACAGGCAGCUGAAAAAAGAGUGGGCAUCUCAUGACAACUUAUAAAGGCUUGCAGUAUGGAAGAAGCUGCAAAUGGCCAUAAGGGAGAGAACAAAAGGCAAUGCAAUAUGGUACAUCCCAAACUAAUUGGUCAGCAGAGAAUUAUUGCAAACCUAAAUCCUUAACAAGAGAAAAUGGCACAGAAGGCAGAAAUGACUGAAACGACCUAGAGAUGGCAGAGCCUGUAAAAAUGAGGUUCUCAAGUGUGGGAAGAAGAAACUGAGAAGCAGAAGGGAUGCAGAGAAGACACCUACAGCAACCUGCAGCCUGAGAAGACAAGUAAAGGGCAAUCCUGCAGCUCCUGGCUCAGGCAUGCUAGCCAGUUAAGUAAUUACAUUAUC